rnacentral:rRNA from 1 species
GAUGAACGCUGGCGGCGUGCCUAAUACAUGCCAGUCGAGCGAACAGACGAGGAGCUUGCUCCUCUGACGUUAGCGGCGGACGGGUGAGUAACACGUGGAUAACCUACCUAUAAGACUGGGAUAACUUCGGGAAACCGGAGCUAAUACCGGAUAAUAUAUUGAACCGCAUGGUUCAAUAGUGAAAGACGGUUUUGCUGUCACUUAUAGAUGGAUCCGCGCCGCAUUAGCUAGUUGGUAAGGUAACGGCUUACCAAGGCAACGAUGCGUAGCCGACCUGAGAGGGUGAUCGGACACACUGGAACUGAGACACGGUCCAGACUCCUACGGGAGGCAGCAGUAGGGAAUCUUCCGCAAUGGGCGAAAGCCUGACGGAGCAACGCCGCGUGAGUGAUGAAGGUCUUCGGAUCGUAAAACUCUGUUAUUAGGGAAGAACAAAUGUGUAAGUACCUAUGCACGUCUUGACGGUACCUAAUCAGAAAGCCACGGCUAACUACGUG